UCACAAACAUCCUGUCUGAAUUUAAAAGUAAUCCUCAAAGUAAUUAUCUUGUUUUUCAAAAGUAUCUGUUAAUCUGAUGACAAUAUUUUUUGCUGUGUUUAACAGGUGCAAAGAAUUCCCAGUCAAGAGUGUGGCCGUCUGUGAGAAUUGUCUUUCUCUGCCGUACUUCAGCUGAACUGCAGUACCGGAAAUACCCUCUGAAGAUCAGUUGUAGCCUCCUGAGUCAGCUGUUGUACUCCACUGACCCAACGAUACGAUCGCAGAGAAACAUGCUGAUCUAGAGACAGACUGAUUUCUGAUGAAAGUCAGUUCCUCUUAAUUGUGGGGUUGCAAUGUCUACAACUUCAGGGUCAUUUAAACAGGCUAAGCAAGCUUUUUAUGUCAGUGAAGGACGUGCUAGCUACCUAACUAUGUCCGUAAGCUAGCCAGCUACAACAGUUGGCUACACAGCUGAUCAAGUCACUGCAAUGCGACCAAACUCCUUGCACAGAAUUUGUGCAGGAUAAUUUUUUUCUCACAAUUGCAAAUUAUUAAAUCACUGUCAAAAAGUUUAGAAUAAUUUAGCUAGCUAGUUUUUCUCCAUAAUUCAUGGUGUCAUACGAGGGCGCAGUGAUAAAAUAAAAAUAACUUUUUUUAUGGGAAUGCUUGUUAUUUGAAUAUGAGUUCCACAUCCUACGAGACAGAUCAGUAGAAGGACUAGCGUAGUGAGGAGUGAAGCCAUCUGACGUGAGACAAUGUCCUCCUACAGUACUGAUCCACCUGACAUGGGUUCCAAAUAUUUUAAAUACUUUCUGUGCAUGAUUGAGCUUUACCUGGCACAAUGGUACAAAUAGAGUCUCAAAAGUGCAUCCACCCCACACCUCUGGCACUCCAGACAGGGCUUAAUCUAACGCUCACAAGUAUUUGAAAAAUAUUGAAUACUUUUGAAUCCCAGGUCGGUAUGCUAGACAGAGCUGUAAUCCAUAUAGUGGUGAUUUAGAUUAGAGCUGCUGCGUCACUCGAUACUGUGAUAGAACUACGCCUUGGGCUGUCUGGUCCACCACCACGUCCCUAUUGUAAUCAACCACAGGGGUGAGAAGGCAGUCUAUCAUUCUCCACCAGGCACGUCCACAUAUCCAGGUCAGGUUUAUCAAACAGACUUUGGUUCAUACUAACACAUUCUCAUGUCCUGUUAUGUCAUCUCAACUCUACAUAUUCAGAUUGUUCCGCCAAGGACACUCUUUUCAGUUUGAGUCUGUUAUUCCUUGGGAACUGGUCCUAUAUCCAAUAAACUUCAGUAUUACACUAUAUAUACAAAAGUAUGGGGACACACCUUCAAAAUAGUUAAUUUGGCUAUUUCAGGCAUACCUGUUGAUGAUGG